UCGCGUCACCGGGGGUGCCCUGCUUCGGCAGCGGCUGAGAACACACCCCAGGAACCUGAACCGGGUCAUUCCGGCGGAGGGAGUGUGAUGCUCUGCUCCG
rnacentral:ncRNA from 2 species